UAAAAACACCCCAAUAUUAUUUGCUUCACUCCAACAUCCCAUAAAGUGUUUGAGGGACAAGUAAUAAAUAAACUACUACCGGAAUGCAUAUAUACUAGCUUGUAGAGCACCAUCUAAAGAUAUGCAUAACUAUAGCUUACUUACUACAGUAGCAACUGCAGGAAGGAAAGACAUUUUGCAAUGGACUAUAAAUAUAUAUAUAUAUAUAUAUAUAUAUACGGGAGCCUGCACUGCAUUGAUCAUGCAAUAGCCAUGCAUGUAUGUAGUCGUGUAAAUAUUAUUGCGCCCCAAUCAACACGCCAUCCAAUGGAUGCUCACCAUAUGUAACUAAAACCAUGACGGACUGCUGCCUUUGGGCCUUAUAGAUCAUGCAAUAGCCAUGCAUGUAGUCGUGCCCCAGAUCAACGUCUAGUUAGCAAAGUUACCAGAAACAUGACUGUUGGCAUGAGUAAGUACACCAUGCUAAAUGCAUGUACCUACCUAGCUAGCUGGUACAGGUACACAUUUCUGUUGGUCCAAACCCAAGAGUAUUUUCCGACAACGACGAUAUGCAACGACGAACAACGAGAUGAAGAAGCAAGUUGACGUGAUCUGACUGCAAUUGCUCUUAAUCUUGACGAUGAACGACGUAGUGCAAAACUAGCUUCUUCUAGCAAGUCUUGCUCUUAAUAAAUCAGACGUCGUAGUUGCCGCAAGCAACACAAAACAGCACACGUACGUAUACAACGGCCAGCUUGCCGGAAGCACGUAGCCACGCACGCGUAGCCGAUACUAC
rnacentral:lncRNA from 1 species